rnacentral:lncRNA from 1 species
UUGAAAUAGUUGGGCCUCACCUGUGGGCUUUUUUCGUUGGAUGGACUGAGCUUUUAGAGAAGUGGAGAUGAUAGGGAAUUUUGGAAUGGAGUUGUAUAGAUGUCGCCUUUAUCUCUAAAUACUACCUUAUUCUUUUGUUUUGAUGGAAACUUUGUUCUUUUAGUUUAGGCUAGGGGUUGUUUGAUAAAGUUUUUGAUAAAAGCCGAUAAAAUAUGUAGAUGA